rnacentral:rRNA from 1 species
AUUGAACGCUGGCGGCAUGCUUUACACAUGCAAGUCGAACGGCAGCGCGGGCUUCGGCCUGGCGGCGAGUGGCGAACGGGUGAGUAAUGCAUCGGAACGUGCCCAGUAGUGGGGGAUAGCCCGGCGAAAGCCGGAUUAAUACCGCAUACGACCUGAGGGUGAAAGCGGGGGACCGAAAGGCCUCGCGCUAUUGGAGCGGCCGAUGUCGGAUUAGCUAGUUGGUGGGGUAAAGGCUUACCAAGGCGACGAUCCGUAGCUGGUCUGAGAGGACGACCAGCCACACUGGGACUGAGACACGGCCCAGACUCCUACGGGAGGCAGCAGUGGGGAAUUUUGGACAAUGGGGCAACCCUGAUCCAGCCAUGCCGCGUGCGGGAAGAAGGCCUUCGGGUUGUAAACCGCUUUUGUUCGGGAAGAAAUCCUCUGGGCUAAUACCCCGGGGGGAUGACGGUACCGGAAGAAUAAGCACCGGCUAACUACGU